rnacentral:tRNA from 1 species
GGAGGGGUGGUCGAGUGGUCAAUGGCAGCGGACUGUAAAUCCGCCCUCUUAGGAGUUCGAAGGUUCAAAUCCUUCCCCCUCCACCA